rnacentral:rRNA from 1 species
GGAAAAGAAACCAACAGGGAUUGCCCUAGUAACGGCGAGUGAAGCGGCAACAGCUCAAAUUUGAAAUCUGGCUCUUUUAGAGUCCGAGUUGUAAUUUGCAGAGGGCGCUUUGGCUUUGGCAGCGGUCCAAGUUCCUUGGAACAGGACGUCACAGAGGGUGAGAAUCCCGUACGUGGUCGCUGGCUAUUGCCGUGUAAAGCCCCUUCGACGAGUCGAGUUGUUUGGGAAUGCAGCUCUAAAUGGGAGGUACAUUUCUUCUAAAGCUAAAUAUUGGCCAGAGACCGAUAGCGCACAAGUAGAGUGAUCGAAAGAUGAAAAGCACUUUGGAAAGAGAGUCAAACAGCACGUGAAAUUGUUGAAAGGGAAGCGCUUGCAGCCAGACUUGCUUGCAGUUGCUCAUCCGGGCUUUUGCCCGGUGCACUCUUCUGCAGGCAGGCCAGCAUCAGUUUGGGCGGUAGGAUAAAGGUCUCUGUCACGUACCUCUCUUCGGGGAGGCCUUAUAGGGGAGACGACAUACUACCAGCCUGGACUGAGGUCCGCGCAUCUGCUAGGAUGCUGGCGUAAUGGCUGUAAGCGGCCCGUCUUGAAACACGGACCAAGGAGUCUAACAUCUAUGCGAGUGUUUGGGUGUCAAGCCCGAGCGCGUAAUGAAAGUGAACGGAGGUAGGAACCCGCAAGGGUGCACUAUCGACCGAUCCUGAUGUCUUCGGAAGGAUUUGAGUAAGAGCAUGGCUGUUGGGACCCGAAAGAUGGUGAACUAUGCUUGAAUAGGGUGAAGCCAGAGGAAACUCUGGUGGAGGCUCGCAGCGGUUCUGACGUGCAAAUCGAUCGUCAAAUUUGGGCAUAGGGGCGAAAGACUAAUCGAACU